rnacentral:rRNA from 1 species
GAUGAACGCUGGCGGCGUGCCUAAUACAUGCAAGUAGACCGCUGAAGGAGUAGCUUGCUCUUCUGGAUGAGUUGCGAACGGGUGAGUAACGCGUAGGUAACCUGCCUGUUAGCGGGGGAUAACUUUUGGAAACGAUAGCUAAUACCGCAUGACAACAGUUAUUGCAUGAUAACUGUUUAAAAGUGGCAACUUCUCCACUACCAGAUGGACCUGCGUUGUAUUAGCUGGUUGGUGAGGUAACGGCUCACCAAGGCGACGAUACAUAGCCGACCUGAGAGGGUGAUCGGCCAAACUGGGACGGAGACACGGACCAGAGUGCUACGGGAGGCAGCAGUAGGGAAUCUUGGGAAAUGGACGGAAGUCUGACCGAGCAACGCCGAGUGAGUGAAGAAGGUUUUCGGAUCGUAAAGCUCUGUUGUAAGAGAAGAAAGAGUGUGAGAGUGGAAAGUUCACAAUGUGACGGUAUCUUACCAGAAAGGGACGGCUAACUACGUG